rnacentral:rRNA from 1 species
UAAUACUUAGGAAUAUGCCUUUGUGUGGGGGAUAACCAUUGGAAACGAUGGCUAAUACCGCAUAACGUCUUCGGACCAAAGGGGGCUUUGGCUCCCGCGCAAAGAGUAGCCUAAGCGAGAUUAGCUUGUUGGUGAGGUAAAGGCUCACCAAGGCGACGAUCUCUAGCUGUUCUGAGAGGAAGAUCAGCCACACUGGAACUGAGACACGGUCCAGACUCCUACGGGAGGCAGCAGUGGGGAAUAUUGCACAAUGGGGGAAACCCUGAUGCAGCCAUGCCGCGUGUGUGAAGAAGGCCUUCGGGUUGUAAAGCACUUUCAGUUGUGAGGAAAGGUUAACGGUUAAUACCCGUUAGCUGUGACGUUAGCAACAGAAGAAGGACCGGCUAACUCCGUGCCAGCAGCCGCGGUAAUACGGAGGGUCCGAGCGUUAAUCGGAAUUACUGGGCGUAAAGCGCACGCAGGCGGUUUGUUAAGCUAGAUGUGAAAGCCCUGGGCUCAACCUGGGAAUUGCAUUUAGAACUGGCAGGCUAGAGUUUUGGAGAGGGGAGUGGAAUUCCAGGUGUAGCGGUGAAAUGCGUAGAUAUCUGGAGGAACAUCAGUGGCGAAGGCGACUCCCUGGUCAGUAACUGACGCUCAUGUGCGAAAGUGUGGGUAGCGAACAGGAUUAGAUACCCUGGUAGUCCACACCGUAAACGCUGUCUACUAGCUG